rnacentral:rRNA from 1 species
AAACGACUCUCGGCAACGGAUAUCUCGGCUCUCGCAUCGAUGAAGAACGUAACGAACUGCGAUACUUGGUGUGAAUUGCANAAUCCCGUGAACCAUCGAGUCUUUGAACGCAAGUUGCGCCCGAAGCCCUCAGGCCAAGGGCACGUCUGCCUGGGCGUCANGC